rnacentral:misc_RNA from 1 species
ACGUAUCUCUGACGGGGGCGCGCGCCCUGCUCCGGUCCCCAAAGGGCCGUGAAGCGGGUGCCCGUCCCCGCUCAACCUCACAAACCCACUGUGAACCUUCACGGCGGAAAGGAGGGCGACCUCCCGAACGCCGCACACAAACUCCAGUUGUACAGAAUGUCGUGCGGACCAGUGCCGCCUAAAACACAAAA